CCGAGUUUACAACUCCCAAACCCCUGUGAACAUACCUUAAUGUUGCCUCGGCGGAUCAGCCCGCGCCCCGUAAAACGGGACGGCCCGCCAGAGGACCCAAACUCUAAUGUUUCUUAUUGUAACUUCUGAGUAAAACAAACAAAUAAAUCAAAACUUUCAACAACGGAUCUCUUGGUUCUGGCAUCGAUGAAGAACGCAGCAAAAUGCGAUAAGUAAUGUGAAUUGCAGAAUUCAGUGAAUCAUCGAAUCUUUGAACGCACAUUGCGCCCGCUGGUAUUCCGGCGGGCAUGCCUGUUCGAGCGUCAUUUCAACCCUCAAGCCCCCGGGUUUGGUGUUGGGGAUCGGCUCUGCCUUCUGGCGGUGCCGCCCCCGAAAUACAUUGGCGGUCUCGCUGCAGCCUCCAUUGCGUAGUAGCUAACACCUCGCAACUGGAACGCGGCGCGGCCAUGCCGUAAAACCCCAACUUCUGAAU
rnacentral:misc_RNA from 1 species